AUGUCAAACCCUCUAAACUGAACUAAAUCUGGUGUUCGCUCACGGUGUCCUUAAAUGGAUUAUUAAGACAGUCGUUACCUUUACCCUCCCCCAGCAGGCUACCACCUUUCAACGGCCGGAGAAAUCAAGAGCACCUAUCCGUUUUCGGUUAUACGAAGGGGGAGAGAGCCUACACCCCGCUCCGCCAGUCACCCCCCUUUCGAUCUUCUCUUUUCUCGUGAUAUUAUUGUUUCUAUAUACGUUCAGAUUCAAAAUUAGGGUUUUUACUUUUGUAAACUAUAGGAAUUCCUGAUGGCUUCGAAACGGAUCUUGAAAGAACUCAAGGAUCUCCAGAAGGAUCCUCCUACCUCUUGCAGUGCAGUUGAAAAGUCUGGGCUAUUGAAUUUAGGGUUAAGAUGUUUUGCAAAUUACAACUUCUUGACACUAACAAGGGUUAUGGGAUAUCAGACUCCAUGGCAACUUCAGAGGUGAUGGAUAUGGGACAUGAGCUUCGAGUGUUGAGGCUACAAUCCAAGAGAAGUCUGCAUUCUCCGUAAAAGUUCAGCAAGAGGUGCGAACAAAUCAGUUUGUGCACCCGAGCCAUAUGAUGUUGGGCGAAUUUUGCAAGUUGAUAUUAUAUCAAAUGCUCAAAAGUCAAAUGUGACGACAGUUUGUCCGAUACAGCCCGGAAGUUACUUGCAGUAUGGGUAAUAGGAAGUCUAGAGCAAAGCCGGCUCCUUUGAAGCGGAUGGACAAACUUGACACUGUAUUCAGUUGCCCCUUUUGCAACCAUGGAACUAGCGUUGAAUGUCGCAUUGAUGUGAAGAACUUGAUUGGUGAGGCAUCUUGCCGAAUUUGCUAGGAAAACUUCAGCAAUACUGUCACAGAUUUAGUGAAUGGAUCGAUGAAUGUGAACGUGUUAACACCGUUGAUGAUGACGGGGUCCCUGUUGAAGAUGAUGAAGUUGAUGUUGAUUGCAGAGCGCGUUAAACCCGUUCUGAAUGCUUGGAGAAAUCUGCUUCACUUAGCUGUGUGUCAUAAGCAGUCGGGGAAUUGUGCACCAACAAGACCACUAAAGCAUGGAUCGGUGCAUGUGGAAAUACCAUUGCCAGACAUCAAAAAGGCUGAGAUCUGCUGUGCAUAGCCCUAAACUCACCAAUUAAAGAGUUACUUAUAAACCGUUGUAAAGUAUACUCAUUCAUACCCAAAAUAGCGAUAUUUACAUGUGUUAAAAGGAUUGUUGAUUCAAGCUCAUACGAGAAAGAUGUUUUGGAGUCGCCAA